UCAUAUUUCGGUUAUUUGUGGGUUUGGUUAUUUGUGGAUUCGAAUAACCAAAUCAACAAAUAACCGAAUCAACU
rnacentral:misc_RNA from 1 species